AUUGAACGCUGGCGGCAGGCCUAACACAUGCAAGUCGAGCGGAUGAAGGGAGCUUGCUCCUGGAUUCAGCGGCGGACGGGUGAGUAAUGCCUAGGAAUCUGCCUGGUAGGGGGGGAUAACGUCCGGAAACGGGCGCUAAUACCGCAUACGUCCUGAGGGAGGAAGUGGGGGAUCUUCGGACCUCACGCUAUCAGAUGAGCCUAGGUCGGAUUAGCUAGUUGGUGGGGUAAAGGCCUACCAAGGCGACGAUCCGUAACUGGUCUGAGUGGAUGAUCAGUCACACUGGAACUGAGCCACGGACCAGACUCCUACGGGAGGCAGCAGUGGGGAAUAUUGGACAAUAGGCGAAAGCCUGAUCCAGCCAUGCCGCGUGUGUGAAGAAGGUCUUCGGAUUGUAAAGCACUUUAAGUUGGGAGGAAGGGCAGUAAGUUAAUACCUUGCUGUUUUGACGUUACCAACAGAAUAAGCACCGGCUAACUUCGUG
rnacentral:rRNA from 1 species